rfam:Myotis davidii contig315512, whole genome shotgun sequence.
GGCAGUUCUCAGGUGACAUUCCCUGGAACUGGGCUCCCUCCUCUCUGCUUCCGGGGUGCGUCACCCAGAACCGCC